rnacentral:rRNA from 1 species
CCAGCAGCCGCGGUAAUUCCAGCUCCAAUAGCGUAUAUUAAAGUUGUUGCNGUUAAAAAGCUCGUAGUUGAAUUUCGGGGUCAGCAGGUUGGUCGUGCCACUGGUAUGCACUGGCUUCGCUGAUUCCUCCUUUCUGAAGAACUGUAAUGUCAUUAAUUUGGUGUUGCAGGGAAACAGGACUGUACUUUGAAAAAUUAGAGUGUUUAAAGCAGGCUAACGCUUGAAUACAUUAGCAUGGAAUAAUGAAAUAGGACGUUCGAUCCUAUUUUGUUGGUUUCUUAGGAUUGACGUAAUGAUUAAUAGGGAUAGUUGGGGGCAUUAGUAUUCAAUUGUCAGAGGUGAAAUUCUUGGAUUUAUUGAAGACUAACUACUGCGAAAGCAUUUGCCAAGGAUGUUUUCAUUAAUCAAGAACGAAAGUUAGGGGGAUCGAAGACGAUCAGAUACCGUCGUAGUCUUAACCAUAAACUAUGCCGACUAGGGAUCGGAUGAUGUUAAUUUUUAAUGACUCAUUCGGCGCCUUACG